CUUAGGGCUAAGAUAGAGCAGCCAAUGAAGAACCUUGCCUCCAGGGCAGAGAUCAGUGUUUUUUGGUGAGAGUUCUCCGUGAACAGCAGUGAAAUUGCUCUGGUGGCAUGGUGGGGAACAUGCUGGAAAGUUUUCUUUUAAGGUGCUAGGAAAAUCUGUUCAUGGGGAGGUGUCUUGCUGGAGACACUGCUCUAUGAAACUGCCUGGGAGGUGCCAUGGGAAGCUGCUGGAUGCUGCUGGCCGCCAUGCACUGCAGGAGCCCGAUGCCAGCAAAGGUGUGCACCACAGGAGCUGGCAAUACAGGAGCUACCUGUGCUGCAGGAACCAGCCCAGAGGCCCCACAGAACUGUUUCAGUUACCUGCAGUCAACCAUGGUCUGAAAAUAUUACAUGGAAAAUUCACUGCCACAAUGUCUACAUCACUCAUUUCACUUCAUCUCCUCACAUACCCACUGUAUUAUCUCACGUCACCACAAGAGGAAAAAGGUUUCACACAGCUUCUCCAAUAAUGCGUUCCUGUAAGGCGCAGCUUUCUGCAGCGUUUGCUAUGCCCUCGCCCUACUCCAAUGCUUUCUCCAGCUCUCUACUCCAGCAAAGUCAGCGGUGCAACUGGGUGACCAAGGCAGCAUGGAUAUGUGCCCCAGCUCUGGUCACUGCUCUCAGCACCACCUCUCUAGUCCAAGCAAAUAAUCCCACAGAAUCCUGGUGCUGUGAGGUUCAGAAAAAUGCUAAUUCCAGCAGCUUGAAGGCACAGAUACAGCCCUUGGUCAGUCCAGCACCUCAGUCUCGAUCAUGAAUUUUGCACCAAUUUAAUAACUCUACAAAAUUAGAA
rnacentral:lncRNA from 1 species